rnacentral:lncRNA from 1 species
CUUGCCGAGGACUUUGUCCACCAAGUGAUGAAAGCAUGCAAAUGCCUCCGAAUCAAAGAUGAGGAAAACAAAAGCUCAGAAACUAUCUUGGAGUCAGCAAGUAAGAAGGAGCUUAGAAAGGCUUAACAUUUUCCAUGCUUCUGCCUGGCUUCAGAGCCCAUGCACUCUGCCUUACCACGGCAGGUGAAAGAUGGCCCCAAAUUCUUAGGUACAUCUCCUGCCAAAAGACCCCUCCUAUGGGUUCUGUGACUACUUCAAUGAAAAGAAUAGGGCAGAAGAGAUGAUGAGAACUUAACAUCUGGCAGUGUCCAUUUCCUGUCUUUUGAAACUUUCUGUUAAAGGCCUGAGCCACGUAUGAAGUGUGAAUCUUCACACCAUGCAAGAGAAGCCACAUGUUAUUGCUCUGGUCAACAAUCCCAGCUGACCCAACCAGAUAGUGUAUCAGGCAUAUGAGUAAAGCAUUCUUAGAUUCUUCAGUCCAGCCCUUCACCAGCAGAACACCAUUCAGCAACCCUUGUCGGCAUCAUGUGGGACAGAAGAACCACCCAGCUGAGCCUUAUCCAAAUUCCUGACCACAAAAUCAUAAGAGAGAAUGACUUCUUUCAUAUCGCUGAAUGGAGCAACAUGUUUGGCCAAGUUCCUGUCCCAGGGAGGAGAACCUUCAGCUUGCAACAAGUCCUGGCCGUUGGAGAAACCAUGAGACUAGACCUUGUGUAAAGCAGCUGAUUCUGCCAUGGGGGAAAUGCCCUUUUGUUUACUGAGCUUCUCCCACCCAUGCCUUGCUCCACUUUCCUCUAGAAGCCUGAGAUAUUGGGAAUAAGAGUCUCAGCCUCCAAGAGAUGGAGAACAUAUCAAGAGAGUCUGGAUUUCUGGGGUGAUUAAGUUCACUUGAUUCAUUAGCCUAAGUGCUCAAGUAAAUUUCAAAUCACAGUGUUAUGUGUGAUUGUCCACGUCCUUCCUCCAAACACUCCCCACCUCCCACCCAAGGGCCCAUGUAACUUGCUAUUGAGAACCUUUGAUUUCUUAGGUAUUUGGGUGAUAGGGUUUUGUUGCCUCUCCUGAAGAAAAUAGUGGCAAUUUGUACUCAGCUGUGGAAUAAAGGAAAUCAUGACAUA